rnacentral:rRNA from 1 species
CCGUAGCCCAAGAGAUCGGGAUAACACCUGGAAACAGAUGCUAAUACCGGAUAACAACAGAUGAUGCCUAUCAACUGUUUAAAAGAUGGUUCUGCUAUCACUCUUGGAUGGACCUGCGGUGCAUUAGCUAGUUGGUAGGGUAACGGCCUACCAAGGCGAUGAUGCAUAGCCGAGUUGAGAGACUGAUCGGCCACAUUGGGACUGAGACACGGCCCAAACUCCUACGGGAGGCAGCAGCC